rnacentral:rRNA from 1 species
GAUGAACGCUGGCGGCGUGCCUAAUACAUGCAAGUCGAGCGAACGGGCGAGAAGCUUGCUUUUCUGAUGUUAGCGGCGGACGGGUGAGUAACACGUGGAUAACCUACCUAUAAGACUGGGAUAACUUCGGGAAACCGGAGCUAAUACCGGAUAAUAUUUUGAACCGCAUGGUUCAAAAGUGAAAGACGGUCUUGCUGUCACUUAUAGAUGGAUCCGCGCUGCAUUAGCUAGUUGGUAAGGUAACGGCUUACCAAGGCAACGAUGCAUAGCCGACCUGAGAGGGUGAUCGGCCACACUGGAACUGAGACACGGUCCAGACUCCUACGGGAGGCAGCAGUAGGGAAUCUUCCGCAAAGGGCGAAAGCCUGACGGAGCAACGCCGCGUGAGUGAUGAAGGUCUUCGGAUCGUAAAACUCUGUUAUUAGGGAAGAACAUAUGUGUAAGUAACUGUGCACAUCUUGACGGUACCUAAUCAGAAAGCCACGGCUAACUACGUG